ACACAUGCAAGUCGAGGGGCAGCAUCAUCAAAGCUUGCUUUGAUGGAUGGCGACCGGCGCACGGGUGAGUAACACGUAUCCAACCUGCCGACAACACUGGGAUAGCCUUUCGAAAGAAAGAUUAAUACCGGAUGGUAUAGUUUUCCCGCAUGGGAUGAUUAUUAAAGAAUUUCGGUUGUCGAUGGGGAUGCGUUCCAUUAGGCAGUUGGCGGGGUAACGGCCCACCAAACCUACGAUGGAUAGGGGUUCUGAGAGGAAGGUCCCCCACAUUGGAACUGAGACACGGUCCAAACUCCUACGGGAGGCAGCAGUGAGGAAUAUUGGUCAAUGGACGAGAGUCUGAACCAGCCAAGUAGCGUGAAGGAUGACUGCCCUAUGGGUUGUAAACUUCUUUUAUACGGGAAUAAAGUGAGCCACGUGUGGCUUUUUGUAUGUACCGUAUGAAUAAGGAUCGGCUAACUCCGUGCCAGCAGCCGCGGUAAUACGGAGGAUCCGAGCGUUAUCCGGAUUUAUUGGGUUUAAAGGGAGCGUAGGCGGGUUGUUAAGUCAGUUGUGAAAGUUUGCGGCUCAACCGUAAAAUUGCAGUUGAUACUGGCGACCUUGAGUGCAACAGAGGUAGGCGGAAUUCGUGGUGUAGCGGUGAAAUGCUUAGAUAUCACGAAGAACUCCGAUUGCGAAGGCAGCCUACUGGAUUGUAACUGACGCUGAUGCUCGAAAGUGUGGGUAUCAAACAGGAUUAGAUACCCUGGUAGUCCACACAGUAAACGAUGAAUACUCGCUGUUGGCGAUAUACAGUCAGCGGCCAAGCGAAAGCAUUAAGUAUUCCACCUGGGGAGUACGCCGGCA
rnacentral:rRNA from 1 species